GACCACAAAUCAGGUAGGACUACCCGCUGAACUUAAGCAUAUCAAUAGCGGAGGA
rnacentral:rRNA from 1 species